GCCUACUGAGCUGAUAUCAGUUCUCAUUUUACACACUGGCUCAGUUCAGCAGGAAC
rnacentral:pre_miRNA from 5 species